UAGUUUCCUCCAGGUAACCCAGACGGUUCUCAAAAUCUCCAGCCCAGGUGCAAAAUUUCCCGCUUGUCAGUGUCAUAUUUGACAGUAAAUGGGGCGCAAAUGGGCACCCCAUUUACUGAAAUACCAUCAUUUUCGGUCCCCAUUCCAAAUCAGUGAAAGUUUGGAAAUGAUCCAAAAACCGAACAAGAAAUGGACACCACCCGACAACAUCGACUCCUACCAAAGGUAAAUAGAAAACUGCUUGCAUAACUCUUACCCAAACCAAAUGGCGACUAACGGAAGGAAGUAUUAACAUAGCAUUCAUAGAUGAUCUAAACGCAUUGAUAACAAAUGCAAUAAAACAGCCAGAACAGAAGCAUAAUAUAUACUACAAACCAAACGAGAGAUUUUGAAAAAAACAUUCUGCUGUAAUUUGCCUUUUAAGAUCAUCAAUAUCCGUAGCUUGUAUUUAAUAAACAAUGGACUUAAGAUGUCCCCAAAGAAAGAA